GACGAACGCUGGCGGCGUGCUUAACACAUGCACGUCGAACGAAGUGGCGCACGGGUGAGUAACGCGUAAUCAACCUGCCCUUCAGAGGGGGACAACAGUUGGCAACGACUGCUACUACCGCAUACAGAAGGAGGGGAUUGCGUCUGAUUAGGUAGUUGGAGGGGUAACGGCCCACCAAGGCGAUGAUAAGUAGCCGGGCUGAGAGAAUGAACGGCCACAGGGGGACUGAGAAACGGCCCAGACUCCUACGGGAGGCAGCAGUGGGGAAUCUUCCGCAAUGGACGAAAGUCUGACGGAGCAACGCCGCGUGAGUGAUGACGGCCUUCGGGUUGUAAAGCUCUGUUAAUCGGGACGCGGUACCGGAAUAGAAAGCCACGGCUAACUACGUGCCAGCAGCCGCGGUAAUAC
rnacentral:rRNA from 1 species